GUCUCUGGAUGGCUAUUUCAGAUUAUUUUCCAGAAAGAUAAUACUUAUCCAUACUCCUGCUAGCAGGAUUCAAGGACUAUCUAAAUGUACAUUCGUUUUUAAUUUAACUGUUGAAACUGUUGUCUCUUCAGUCUUAGUUGGCACUCAGAAGGAACUUUUGCUCCAAAGCCCAUGAAAGAGCAGUAGAGAUUCUAUUGAAAAGUAAACACCUUAUUAAUUCAAAUUAUAAGCAUUUGAAGCCUUCAUAGCUGUAAACAAUUCAUUUACAAAUGUCAAAAACAGAAAGUAAAGAUUCUAGGUAUCAUAGCUUGAGAGCGUAUAAGAAACAGAUUUUAUGGGCACCAUCCAAUUCCAGUGGAGAGUAUCACUUUAUCUGUAAUCUCUUUAUUCCUGGCUUCUUCUGUCCGUUGAAAAUGAGCUGCACUUAGAAUUAUUUUUGGCACUAUUUUUCCUUUCAUUAUUCACAGUAGAAUGCAUGCCUCAAGUAUUUACUUUUGGCUACAUCCUUACUUUGUAAAACCUUUCUCUUAUGUUUAGGUGCAUACACACACACGUUGAUGUUAUAAUCACAACCAAACCUAGUGUUGUGUCUUUCACUCAUACAAAAGCACAUUGAGAUAGUCAAACUUAGUGCAUGCUAAAGGGAUACACAUGUAAGUUGUGCAUAUAUCUGUGCAAAUGGUAUGCAUGUGUGUGUGCAUGUGUUGCGUGUGUGCCUAUGUUUAUUCUUGGGGUGAAGGACAGGGAAGGUUACGGCUGAUAAAGAUAUCUGGGGUGUUCAUCUGAUCCCGCUGGUACUGCAUCCCAUAGUAAGGCUUAGAUUUGCAGUGUGGCCAUCAUAGGGCCUGGGAGCUGGCCUGCCCUUCCUCCGACUGAUGCUCUAAAGCAUCCCUGUGGGAUAGGCUGACAAGGGGUAUUCUUCCAAAGCUGGAGGUUGGGGGAGUCAGAGGCUUGCACCCAAGGCCCUCAGCUGGAGGUGGGAGAGAUGCAGAUGGUCUCAUCUUCGGUUCCUAGACAGUGUUCUUUCCCUUCCAAGUUGCUGCCUUGGCCUCUGGUGGUCCCCACUCCUCUUCCUCCCAAGGCAGUAACUGAAUCCUGCAGGUAUGGGCCAGGACAGGGGGGUCUGGCCCCUCCCUUCCAAGCCACUGCUUCAUUUGGACACACUCCCUGCAUUCGACCUGCCGCUCUGUGAUUGGUGCCCUUAGGUCUGUGUCACCAUGUCUGGAGCUCAGCCUUCUGGUCACUCUUCCCCUGCGCCUCUGGUCCACAAGGAGCUUAUGGGCCAUCCUCUCACAGGAUGCUCUGGCAGAUAGGCUGUCCUCCCUGGGGCGGAGCUCCUCGCUCAGGACCUGGUCUUCUUUGUGUCCCUGCAGCAACUCUCCCACCACGCUCACAGCUGUGGCUGACUAAUGAGAUCUGGGUGUAGAAGGAAUUGCCCAAAGGCCCAGAGACAUGAGCCUCAGACAGCCUUGUAGGUCCUGCUGUAACUGGCUCUGUAGGGACGGUUCUGGGGGAAGAUUCAACCACAGAGUAACCCUUUCUGUGGAUGAGCUUGGUUAAGUAGUAUCCAUUCAGGUCCAUUCCAGCCUUGCCUGUGAGCAAACUGGUUCCUGGCUUUCAUCUCAGCAGCCAGCUGGGCACCAUAAACAAGAAACCACUGACUAAGAAGCAAAGGUUGGCAUGUUUUCAGUGGGCCUUGAACUUCCACCCAGAAACCUUAUCUCUGGCAAAACAAAUUCUCAGAUCAGUUCCACAUUCUAUGGUUGGAAAUAGCAUUGUGGGAAAGAGUUGACCAGAAAACAAUGCAGGAACACCUUAUUUCUUUGCAAUGGGCAUGGCAAAGUACCUCUCAGACUGCUUCAGAGAAGGUUUUUAAUGCAGAUCUCUUAGCACCUCUGACCCUGGAAUGAACUUGCCCUCUAGCACCAUCCCCUGCUCGAUUUGCUCCUGCCUUCAAACUCCCGCCAGGUGCUCAGGAGUUCUGCUCAAACCCCAUGCUGCCUGGCCUGACCUCUCAGUGCACACCACAGGCUGCUCCAGGACCUUAGACCAGCUGGUUUCUUCUAAAGUUACCCAGAGCGCCCCCAGGAGCCACCUCAGGACACCCCCACUUCCCACACAAACAUGGACACCUUAGAGUUUUUCUCCAGACAGAACACCUGCCACCCUGAGAUUGGGUGGCU
rnacentral:lncRNA from 1 species